rnacentral:rRNA from 1 species
CAGCAGCCGCGGGAAAACGGAGGGUGCAAGCGUUAAUCGGAAUUACUGGGCGUAAAGCGUGCGUAGGCGGUUCGUUAAGUCUGCUGUGAAAGCCCCGGGCUCAACCUGGGAAUGGCAAUGGAUACUGGCGAGCUAGAGUGUGUCAGAGGAUGGUGGAAUUCCCGGUGUAGCGGUGAAAUGCGUAGAGAUCGGGAGGAACAUCAGUGGCGAAGGCGGCCAUCUGGGACAACACUGACGCUGAGGCACGAAAGCGUGGGGAGCAAACAGGAUUAGAUACCCGCGUAGUCCCUGUCUCUUAUAC